CCACGCCGUAAACGAUGAGUGCUAGGUAUUGGCAAAAGUCAGUGCCGCAGUUAACACAUUAAGCACUCCGCCUGGGGAGUACGUGCGCAAGCAUGAAACUCAAAGGAAUUGACGGGGACCCGCACAAGCAGCGGAGCAUGUGGUUUAAUUCGAAGCAACGCGAAGAACCUUACCAGGACUUGACAUACUAGUGCCAGGUAUAGAGAUAUACCCUUAUCUUAGAUACACUAAUACAGGUGGUGCAUGGUUGU
rnacentral:rRNA from 1 species